rnacentral:rRNA from 1 species
GAUGAACGCUGGCGGCGUGCCUAAUACAUGCAAGUCGAGCGAACAGACGAGGAGCUUGCUCCUCUGACGUUAGCGGCGGACGGGUGAGUAACACGUGGAUAACCUACCUAUAAGACUGGGAUAACUUCGGGAAACCGGAGCUAAUACCGGAUAAUAUAUUGAACCGCAUGGUUCAAUAGUGAAAGACGGUUUUGCUGUCACUUAUAGAUGGAUCCGCGCCGCAUUAGCUAGUUGGUAAGGUAAAGGCUUACCAAGGCGACGAUGCGUAGCCGACCUGAGAGGGUGAUCGGCCACACGGGAACGGAGACACGGUCCAGACUCCUACGGGAGGCAGCAGUAGGGAAUCGUCCGCAGUGGGCGAAAGCCUGACGGAGCAACGCCGCGUGAGUGAUGAAGGUCUUCGGAGCGUAAAACUCUGUUAUUAGGGAAGAACAAAUGUGUAAGUAACUAUGCACGUCUUGACGGUACCUAAUCAGAAAGCCACGGCUAACUACGUG